GGAGCGGUAGCUCAGCUGGUUAGAGCGCUGCCCUGUCACGGCAGAGGUCGCGGGUCCGAGUCCCGUCCGCUCCG
rnacentral:tRNA from 1 species